CCUACGGGAGGCAGCAGUGAGGAAUAUUGGUCAAUGGACGAGAGUCUGAACCAGCCAAGUAGCGUGAAGGAUGACUGCCCUAUGGGUUGUAAACUUCUUUUAUAUGGGAAUAAAACGUUCCACGUGUGGGCUUUUGUAUGUACCAUAUGAAUAAGGAUCGGCUAACUCCGUGCCAGCAGCCGCGGUAAUACGGAUGAUGCGAGCGUUAUCCGGAUUUAUUGGGUUUAAAGGGUGCGCAGGCGGAAGAUCAAGUCAGCGGUAAGAUUGAGAGGCUCAACCUCUUCGAGCCGUUGAAACUGGUGUUCUUGAGUGAGCGAGAAGUAUGCGGAAUGCGUGGUGUAGCGGUGAAAUGCAUAGAUAUCACGCAGAACUCCGAUUGCGAAGGCAGCAUACCGGCGCUCAACUGACGCUCAUGCACGAAAGUGUGGGUAUCGAACAGGAUUAGAUACCCUAGUAGUC
rnacentral:rRNA from 1 species